rnacentral:lncRNA from 1 species
UCACAGGAGAGCCAAGAGCAAUACCCUAGCACAGCACAAAAUGAAAGUGGAAAAUGUGCUUGGAGCAUCUGAGGAUAAAACAAAUUGCAGCUGAUAGACUUACUGAGGACUCCACCAGGAAAAAAUAAAAAGAAAAAUUCCAGAUUGAUAAAAAUUUCUUCAGAAAGGACAGCCCAGAUGUUGGAUUCAGUUCCAGGCUCACCAGCACAGGAGAGACGUGGAAGACAGAGCAGCCGAACAAGUUAAACAAAGGGCCCCUAAAAUGAAUAAGAGACUGGAGCAUUUGACAUAUGAGGAGAGGCAUGGAGGGCUGAGACUUUUCAACCUGGAGAAGAGAAGGCUAAUGGGGAACUCAACAAUAUGCAUAAAUUCCUGAGGGAGUGAGGUAAAGAAGAUACAGCCAGACUCAGUGGUGUCCAGUGACAGGACAAGAAGUAAUGGGCACAAACUGUACAUAGAUCCUUGAAAAAUGCAUUACUGCAAAUAAAACAUGUUCAGCAAAAUAUUGUACUUCAGUAAUCAGUUAAUUUUCUGUUUUUAAAACUGAAGAAACAGUACUGAUGACAAAAGAUGCAAGAUUACAUGACGUUUCCAUAAGUUUCCUCACUUUGCAAAGCACAACAACUUCCUAUGCUGAAACAUGGACUCACUCAGCUGCAUACUCCUUGUGUACUUUGGCUGUGUCAUGCAGAGUUCUGGUUGCCAAAGGACUUCAGCAGCUUUCAAACACGUGUUCAGCUACUGCACUUGUUUGUUUUUGUUUUUACCAUGAAAACUGUCUCACUGAUUGUGUUAAUCCUUCUCUAGUUUGUGCAUAAAGACAUCUGUGCAUAGCUUACCAGUCCCCUAACUGAUCCUGUGUGCUGUGACAUGAGGAGAGGUAUACGCAGACUGAACUGGGCUCUGUACAGAAUACUGUGGCAGUGAUUUGCCUGUUGUGCAACUCCUACUUGUCAAAAUAAUUCCAUGGUACAAUAUUUGCUUAGUCUGUGUUUCCUGCCUCUUUUUCCUUUAAUAGGAGGAGGGUAAGGUGCAAAUCCAUGCAUCUCCCAUGUGAGGGGUGUUGUUUAUCCACUUUAAAUUCAAGAUUCUNUUUUUGGCAAAAUGAAUGUUGAGUUCUGAAUUUGUUUUUUUUGUCAUUCAUUUAAGCUCUUAUAUUCUACCAGUUGUAUUACCAUCGAAUGAUCUGGGCCAGAAGGGACCUUGAGGACCAUCUAGUUCCAACACCAUUCUGUGGGCAGCGUUAAUAUACCAUAGUAUAGUUUUUAUUAUAUAUAAUAUUUCUUUAUAUAUUUCAAUUUACAAUCAGUUUUAUUCUUUUUCCCCCAGAAUUUACGUACCAAGAAUCAUUGAGAUUUUAUGAUUGCAAAUUUCUUUCCAGUAACAAAACCAAUAGUGAAAUAUGGGAAUUUUCCAUAGAAUUGAAUUUUAAAUUGUAUGCCAUGCUAGGCAUGGUUUUUUAAGACUUAUUAGACAAAUGUGUUUAGAUGGAUUACCUACCUGGAGGAAAAUAAACUCUACUGUCCCGUAAUAUUACUUGACUGCAUUCCCAUGAGUGACACUGUCCCUUCAUAAUUUUUAGUGUCAUCUAAUUUGUUGCUUUUUGCUUCAAAUCAUGAAGUUCCCACAAGAUAUAGAAAUAUGUACUGUUCAAACUUUUAUUAGAUACGCAAGGAUGUAAUAAAAACAUCAUCCUACCAUUUUCAGAGUUAAAUUUUGGGCUGCCUUGAGAAUCACUGUCUAGGUGCAGAGGACUAUGUAAUCCAUUUCUUAGCAGUUGAGACAGCAAAAUCUGUAAGGUAAUUUACAGUAUUGCAGAAGAAGUCUUCAACAGAGUUUAAUUAAAAUGCUUUGGUGAUCUGAAGAUACUCAUAAUCUAGCGCUGAAAUUAAAGAUGUCCACAUCAACAGAACUUUUUCUCAGGCUCAUGAUGCCAGAUGGCUUUGCUAUGCGUAUAUAUGUAUCAUGUGUAUAAAUCUACAUUUAAUGACCAAAAUAUGGAAUGGUUUUUCAACCACUCCCAAGUAAGUGAUGUAAUGCCAAGAUAUGAGGCAUUUGGUCCUGACUGUUAGAUUCAGAUCACUUAAGCGAGGCACCUAGGUUUUUUUUUUAUACAGUUCUUGGAGAGAAUCAUAGAAUCAUAGAAUUGCUCAGGUUGGAAAAGACUUUAAAGGUUAUCAAGUCCAACUGCAACCUAACCAUACUACCCCAACUCUAACAACCCUCCACUAAAUCAUGUCCUUGAAUGUAGAUGACCUAAAGAGGGAACUUUUCUGGUGAGUUGCUUAGAGCCUGUGAGUAAACAUAGGUUUACACUUACACUGCAUAGGUCUGAGCCCUGUGCUUUGGGUGUUUCCAUUUGGCUCCAGCUCUGCUUCUGUGUAUCAAUGUUUAACUAGAAGGGAAUAUUUGUAUAUCUAAAGCACAGACAUGUUAAUGGUGGCAGAUUACUACAACAUGCAUAAUGCAGUUAGACUGUGAAGCUCACUGUCACAAGAGGAUUCAGAAAAUAAUAAAGUUAAUUCUUGAAAGUUUGAAGUUUUUGUCUCAAUUUAGGUAUAUACUAUUCUGUUUCUCUAUUUAUCAAUAUACAUUCAAUAAUCAAAAUACGCUUGUCUGCUCUAUAUACACACAGCCUGAAUACUUUUCUAAACCUGGAAAAUUGUCUUGUACUCUGUGUCACCAGUUUCUAUUUGAAAGAUAAAUUAGACCGUUANCGAAU